rnacentral:rRNA from 1 species
UGGGGAAUAUUGCACAAUGGGCGCAAGCCUGAUGCAGCCAUGCCGCGUGUAUGAAGAAGGCCUUCGGGUUGUAAAGUACUUUCAGUGGGGAGGAAGGGAGUAAAGUUAAUACCUUUGCUCAUUGACGUUACCCGCAGAAGAAGCACCGGCUAACUCCGUGCCAGCAGCCGCGGUAAUACGGAGGGUGCAAGCGUUAAUCGGAAUUACUGGGCGUAAAGCGCACGCAGGCGGUUUGUUAAGUCAGAUGUGAAAUCCCCGGGCUCAACCUGGGAACUGCAUUCGAAACUGGCAGGCUAGAGUCUUGUAGAGGGGGGUAGAAUUCCAGGUGUAGCGGUGAAAUGCGUAGAGAUCUGGAGGAAUACCGGUGGCGAAGGCGGCCCCCUGGACAAAGACUGACGCUCAGGUGCGAAAGCGUGGGGAGCAAACAGG